rnacentral:lncRNA from 1 species
CCCCUUCCUGCAGAGAUCUCCAGCUCCUGUCAUCCCACCGUGAACCAGUCCCUGAAUGAAAUAUUCACACCUCAUUCAUACUUCUGGUUUCAGGGUUCAGAACUGUUCAGGGAUGCAGCCAUAACUUUCUCCCAGGAAGAGUGGGAGUGCCUGGAGCCUGUUCAGAGGGAUUUGUACAGAGAUGUGAUGUUGGAGAACUCCAGCCACCUGGUCUCACUGGGUCUUGCCAUGUCCAAACCUGAUGUGAUAUCCAUCCUAGAGCAAGGUAAUGAGCCCUGGGUACAGGAAAGGGCCACAGCAGUAGUGCUGGGUUCAGCAUUGGAGUCUGGAUGUGGUACCAAGAUAACGCCCUCCAAGCAACGCACUCAUGAGGAGGACUCCCCACAGUGGGCGACAACAGAAAGCCUUCCAAGCUGCAGUCUUGAGAGCGCAAGUCUCUGAAAUGACUGGGAAGGCAAAGGCCUAUUUGAUAGACAAGCAGGCAAUCCAGCCAGAAACGCCGGGCCAGUGUUAAUCUGUCACCAAGAAAUGCCCGCAUUAAACCAGCACAUGUCUCUUACUUUUUACCAGACAAAGUCCCGUAGGUAUAAAAAACACAGAAGAGACUUCUGUAAAGAGCAGUUCCUUAUUAACCAAGAACUUGGUUACGAAUGAGAAACCCUACAAGUGUAGGCAGUGUGGGAAGGCUUUUAAAUACGGCUUGUGACUAAUCCAGCAUGAGAACAUUCAUUCGGGCAAGAAGCCUUAUGAGUGUUAAGAGUGUGGGAAGGCCUUCAAUUCUGGUUCUAAUUUCAUAGAACACCAGAGAGUUGAUACAGGCGAGAAACCUUAUGCGUGUAAAGACUGUGCUAAAGCCUUCAGUCGAAGGUCUUAGCUCAUUGAGCAUCAGAGAAUCCAUACUGGGGAGAAACCCUAUCAAUGUAAGGAGUGUGGCAAGGCCUUCAAUCGUAUCUUACAUCUCAAAGUACAUCACAGAAUCCAUAGUGGGGAAAGCCCUAUGUGUGUAAAGAGUGUGGGAAGACCUUUAGUCACAGGUCUCAGUUGACUCAACAUCACACUGUUCAUACUGGCAAGAAACUCUUUGAGUGCAAAGAGUGCGGGAAGGCUUUUAAUCAAGGGUCCAUUCUAAUCUAACACCAGAGAAUUCAUACGGGAGAGAAACUACAAGUGUAAGGCAUGUGGCAAGGUGUUUAGAGUGAACUCACAGCUUAAGCAACAUCACAGAAUUCACACUGGAGAGAAGUCGUACCAGUGUAAGGUUUGCAAAAGGGCCUUCAAGCGGGUCUCACAUCUCACAGUACAUUAUAGAAUUCAUAUGGCUGAGAAGCCGUUCGAAUGUGAGGAAUGGGAAAACGCCUUUAGUCACUGCUCACAACUGACUCAACGUCCGAUGAUCCAUUCCGAGGAAAAGCCCUACAAGCAUAAGGGAUGCCGGGAGAGCAUAAAUCAUGAUCCAACAUCCGAGCCCCGAGGCUGCGUGAUAGAGGAACACAUGUGAACAUAGUAAAUGUAGAAAAGCCAGCCCUUGGCACUUACCCACUACUAAUCAUCGGGGAAUUGGUUGGCAAGCAACCACGUGAGUGGAAGUAAUGCAAAGAGCCCAUUAGCUUAGGGUAAUCACAGGUUGUGCAUCUUCAAGGAAGGGUAGAUAAGCACGCUGCACAUGAGACACCACUAUCCCAUUUAUUCUAAAUGAAAAAAUGUGUAUGUUGUCUCCCAACACAAUCCUAGUCGUGGGAUUUUUGCGUUGUUUAAGGUUUGUUGUUUGUUUGUUUUGAGGCAAGGUCUGUCUCUGCAGCCCUAGCUGGCCUGGAGUUUGCUAUGUAAACCAGGCUGACCUGAAACUCAGAGAGAUCUGCCUGCCUCUCCCUUCAGGGUAUAUUAGAUGUGUGUGCCACAACACCCAGUUUUAGCAACAAGGAAAAGAAAGCCAAAUCAUUCUUCAUUUAGUAUUUUUUCAAACUCCAUGAACUGCAAGAAAAAGAAUGGCUUGAUACUUUUACAUGCUAAGAAAGGUAAGAUGAAGCUAUAACUAGGGUGUGGUGGCCCACACCUUGAAUCCUUGGCACUUGGAAGGCAGAAGCAGAAGGUUCUCUGAGUUCUAGCCCAGCUGGCUACACAGUGAGACCCUGUCUCCAAACAAUAACAACAACUCCAUC